CGCUGAUGCCCUUCCUGGGCGUUUCCUCCCUGUAAACUUGGCCGCGCUGUUUAGCGCGGCUUUUUUUUGGCUCAGG
rnacentral:sRNA from 1 species